ACUAUUUUGGCAGAUUAGUGCAAUAAAUUUAGAAUUUAUUUAUGUAAUUUAUAUUACAAGUAGUA
rnacentral:tRNA from 2 species